GACGAACGCUGGCGGCGUGCUUAACACAUGCAAGUCGAACGGAAAGGCCCUGCUUUUGUGGGGUGCUCGAGUGGCGAACGGGUGAGUAACACGUGAGUAACCUGCCCUUGACUUUGGGAUAACUUCAGGAAACUGGGGCUAAUACCGGAUAGGAGCUCCUGCUGCAUGGUGGGGGUUGGAAAGUUUCGGCGGUUGGGGAUGGACUCGCGGCUUAUCAGCUUGUUGGUGGGGUAGUGGCUUACCAAGGCUUUGACGGGUAGCCGGCCUGAGAGGGUGACCGGCCACAUUGGGACUGAGAUACGGCCCAGACUCCUACGGGAGGCGGCAGUGGGGAAUAUUGCACAAUGGGCGGAAGCCUGAUGCAGCAACGCCGCGUGCGGGAUGACGGCCUUCGGGUUGUAAACCGCUUUCGCCUGUGACGAAGCGUGAGUGACGGUAAUGGGUAAAGAAGCACCGGCUAACUACGUGCCAGCAGCCGCGGUGAUACGUAGGGUGCGAGCGUUGUCCGGAUUUAUUGGGCGUAAAGGGCUCGUAGGUGGUUGAUCGCGUCGGAAGUGUAAUCUUGGGGCUUAACCCUGAGCGUGCUUUCGAUACGGGUUGACUUGAGGAAGGUAGGGGAGAAUGGAAUUCCCGGUGGAGCGGUGGAAUGCGCAGAUAUCAGGAGGAACACCAGUGGCGAAGGCGGUUCUCUGGGCCUUUCCUGACGCUGAGGAGCGAAAGCGUGGGGAGCGAACAGGCUUAGAUACCCUGGUAGUCCACGCUGUAAACGGUGGGUACUAGGUGUGGGGUCCAUUCCACGGGUUCCGUGCCGUAGCUAACGCUUUAAGUACCCCGCCUGGGGAGUACGGCCGCAAGGCUAAAACUCAAAGGAAUUGACGGGGCCCCGCACAAGCGGCGGAGCAUGCGGAUUAAUUCGAUGCAACGCGUAGAACCUUACCUGGGUUUGACAUGGAUCGGGAGUGCUCAGAGAUGGGUGUGCCUCUUUUGGGGUCGGUUCACAGGUGGUGCAUGGCUGUCGUCAGCUCGUGUCGUGAGAUGUUGGGUUAAGUCCCGCAACGAGCGCAACCCUUGUUCACUGUUGCCAGCACGUUAUGGUGGGGACUCAGUGGAGACCGCCGGGGUCAACUCGGAGGAAGGUGGGGAUGACGUCAAGUCAUCAUGCCCCUUAUGUCCAGGGCUUCACGCAUGCUACAAUGGCUGGUACAGAGAGUGGCGAGCCUGUGAGGGUGAGCGAAUCUCGGAAAGCCGGUCUCAGUUCGGAUUGGGGUCUGCAACUCGACCUCAUGAAGUCGGAGUCGCUAGUAAUCGUAGAUCAGCAACGCUGCGGUGAAUACGUUCCCGGG
rnacentral:rRNA from 1 species